UACGUAGGGUGCAAGCGUUGUCCGGAAUUAUUGGGCGUAAAGAGCUCGUAGGCGGCUUGUCGCGUCGAAUGUGAAAUCUCAGGGCUCAACUCUGACAUUGCAUUCGAUACGGGCAGGCUAGAGUUCGGUAGGGGAGACUGGAAUUCCUGGUGUAGCGGUGAAAUGCGCAGAUAUCAGGAGGAACACCGGUGGCGAAGGCGGCGACCUGGACGGACACUGACGCUGAGACGCGAAAGCGUGGGGAGCAAACAGG
rnacentral:rRNA from 1 species